GGCGGGAUGGCCGAGUGGUCUAAGGCGGAGGAUUUAAGUUUCAAUGUUUAUCAUUGAGCAAACAUGCUUAAACUCCUCUUCUCGAGAGAGAGCGUGGGUUCGAACCCCACUCCCGUCA